AGGAAAGGCACAAAGGCUGGCUCCUCCCACGCUCUCAGGCUCCUGGUCCUUUGGCUAGGAAGAGUACGUCACGUGGAGUUUUUGCUGUUUGCUCUCUGUGUUCUGCCUUUGGCCCACCAUUUAGGUAAAAGCCAGGAGACGAAGGAAGGAAAUGAGCAAACUCACUACUGUGUUGCUCCUUCUUCAAGUUUUGACUUCCUUCCGCAAAUCCCCUGCUCUUGUUUACUUUUCAGAGUCCUCGGGUAUUUUGUAUUCUGUCCAGAGUCUUUAGCCGUAAUUAAUGGGACGAAUAAGCUAAAGUGGGCUCACUCCAUCUUUGCUGGCAUCUGAAGCUUGGGAUUUGUUUUGAAUCAGCCUUCAACCCAGCCACACUACCCAGUACCUGCUGGUUCCCCGGCUCCUUCCUCUCCUCUUUACCUUCCACUGUGAUGAAGCGGCCCAUUGACUUCUAGGCACUUGACUUAUCUGCUUAGUGUCUUGGCCUUCGCUGGCAUUCUCCCUCCUGUGGGACAGCUCUUCAAACUCCCUCUCCAGGAGAGCCCAUCGUGAGUCAGACUUAGUGGCCAUAAAAGACGAGACAGGACAGGGUGAGGGCUAAGGGAACGAACCCGGACAUCGAGGUGGCUCAAAGUGCACUGGAGAUUUUAACCCUGAAGAUCUCUCCAGACUGUUUAGAAUGAGAGGUGCUGGAGGAUAACCCCCUGCCCAAAAUGGCCUGAACCAUGGCUGUGGAGAAGACAGCGUCCUGUUUCUUGCUGACUGGAGGGUGUCUCUGCAGCAGAACAGAAAGAACGUCAGCGGAACAGAAAGGAGUCCCUGCUUUCAGAGGUGGCACAAAGCUCCAGAAUCACCACGGGCUUUGUGCUGGGUCAGCUGGCACCCACCUGGCAGGUUUUAGGAAGAACAAGAGCGUUCGUUUGAAUAGAUGGUCUGAGAAGCAAGCUCCUAGAUGGAGCAUCAAGUGGAACGCCCAUCCCACAGAAACUGAAGUUGGACUCCUUGAGAAGAAUGAUUAAUCUAAACUCACCAGCCAUUAACUAAGGAUUGGUUUAUUAUACAGACUUGAAGGAAGACCUCGUCUCCUCUCCUAACUUCUUUGCUCUCCAUGAGUUCUUAAUCUCCAAGACCAGACAAAAACAAAGGAUUUUUAGAGUAAGGUCGGUAUAAAAACUUCCCCACCAUUUUUUUUUACUGUUUUCCAAUUUACAGAAAAAUAAAGCUGGAGUAGAAAUAAAGACA
rnacentral:lncRNA from 1 species